GGGCCCGCACAAGCGGUGGAGCAUGUGGUUUAAUUCGAUGAUACGCGAGGAACCUUACCAGGGUUUAAAUGCAGAACGACAGGGGUGGAAACACCCCCUUCUUCGGACGGACUGCAAGGUGCUGCAUGGUUGUCGUCAGCUCGUGCUGUGAAGUGUCGGGUUAAGUCCCAUAACGAGCGCAACCCCCCAUUUCUAGUUGCCAGCGGUUCGGCCGGGGACUCUAGAGAAACUGCCAGCGUAAGCUGUGAGGAAGGUGGGGAUGACGUCAAAUCAUCACGGCCCUUACAUCCUGGGCCACACACGUGCUACAAUGGUGGGGACAACAGGUUGCCAACCCGCGAGGGUGAGCCAAUCCCAAAACCCUAUCACAGUUCGGAUCGCAGUCUGCAACUCGACUGCGUGAAGCUGGAAUCGCUAGUAAUCG
rnacentral:rRNA from 1 species